AUAGCGAAAGCUAGUUGUGUUUAAUUUAGCUAAAGCUAAAUGGAUACAAUAUUGACCAUGUUAAAUAAAGUUCUAGGUAGAAUUAUGAUGAUGACAUUGUUUAUCUAUAUGUCUUGACCAAAUUACGUGCCAGCUAUCGCGGUAAUACGUAAAAGACUUGUGUUAUUCAUCUUGAAUAGGUUUAAAGGGUACCUAGACGGCCAAUCAAGCUCCCAAAAGAGUACUAAGGGGCUAGAGUUUAAUAUAAGGAAGCAUUAAAGUACUGAUGAUGUGGAGAGAUGAAAUUCUGUGAUACUAUAUAUGGCACUGGUAAAGGCGAAAGCAUCUUAUUAUGUAAAAACUGAAGUUGAGGGACGAAGGCUGUGUGUAGCCCAAAGGAUUAGAUACCCAAGUAGUCUCAGCAGAAAAUGAUGAAUGUCAUAGGAUAGAUAAAUUUUGUACUAUAAAUGAAAGUGUAAGCAUUCCACCUUAAGAGUAAUUUGGCAACAUUGGAACUGAAAUCAUUAGACCGUUUCUGAAACAAGUAGUGAAGUAUGUUGUUUAAUUUGAUGGUCCGCAAAAAACCUUACCACAGUUUAUUUGAAUAUAAAAUUAUUUAUACAAGCGCUGCACGGUUGUCUUCAGUUAAUGUCGUGAGAUUCUGGUUAGUUCCAUUAAAUUAACGUAAACCCUUACUUUAUUUUUUAUAGAGUAGUUCACCGCUAGAUUGGAUAUGAUAAAAGGGACUAAGACAAAUCAUCAUGGCCAAANUAAAGUGAGCUAUAGACGUGCCACAUA
rnacentral:rRNA from 1 species